UACGGGGGGGGCAAGCGUUGUUCGGAAUUACUGGGCGUAAAGGGCGCGUAGGCGGCUUGGCAAGUGGAAGGUGAAAUCCCUCGGCUUAACCGAGGAACUGCCCUCCAAACUGCUUUGCUUGAGGCCGGGAGAGGUGAGUGGAAUUCCCAGUGUAGCGGUGAAAUGCGUAGAUAUUGGGAGGAACACCAGUGGCGAAGGCGGCUCACUGGACUGGUAUUGACGCUGAGGUGCGAAAGCGUGGGGAGCAAACAGG
rnacentral:rRNA from 1 species